rnacentral:rRNA from 1 species
UUAAUAAGCGGAGGAAAAGAAACUAACAAGGAUUCCCUCAGUAACGGCGAGUGAAGCGGGAAGAGCUCAAAUUUGAAAUCUCCGAUGCUUGCAUCGGCGAGUUGUAGUUGCGAGAAGCACUUUCUAGGCGGAUCGGUGGUGCCUAAGUUGCUUGGAACAGCACGUCACAGAGGGUGACAACCCCGUCUGUGGCACCGCCGGCCGCCCACGAUGUGCUUUCCAAGAGUCGGGUUGUUUGGGAAUGCAGCCCAAAAUGGGUGGUAAACUCCAUCUAAAGCUAAAUACUGGCGUGAGACCGAUAGCGA